CCUACGGGAGGCAGCAGUAGGGAAUAUUGCUCAAUGGGGGAAACCCUGAAGCAGCAACGCCGCGUGGAGGAUGAAGGUUUUCGGAUUGUAAACUCCUUUUGUUAGAGAAGAUAAUGACGGUAUCUAACGAAUAAGCACCGGCUAACUCCGUGCCAGCAGCCGCGGUAAUACGGAGGGUGCAAGCGUUACUCGGAAUCACUGGGCGUAAAGAGCGCGUAGGCGGGAUAGCAAGUCAGAUGUGAAAUCCUAUGGCUUAACCAUAGAACUGCAUUUGAAACUGUUAUUCUAGAGUAUGGGAGAGGUAGGUGGAAUUCUUGGUGUAGGGGUGAAAUGCGUAGAGAUCAAGAGGAAUACUCAUUGCGAAGGCGACCUGCUAGAACAUAACUGACGCUGAGGCGCGAAAGCGUGGGGAGCAAACAGGAUUAGAUACCCUUGUAGUC
rnacentral:rRNA from 1 species